CGCUCCCAGGGGAAGCUGAGGGUAUGUGUUAAUGUGUGAGUGUGUGUGGUCACAGCUGUUGCAAUUCCUCAAAGUGGAUCAAGAUGAGAAGAAGAAAGAAGGAGAUGUCAGAAGGAUCUAGUUUGCUCUAACACAGCAAACAAACGGAUGUUAACAGCUUAAAGUCAGCCGACAACUUUGAAGAUACUGGAGUUCCCAACAUGACAUGAGGAGAAAAGGUUGGUUUGGAGAACUGAGAAUCAUUAUUUGUAGAGUGAAUGUGUGUAUAUGUGAUGUUUAAAGAGGAAAAAAAGAACAAAUCCCAUUGUGAAGUGAUUUAAAAGUAAAUAUAAAUAUAUUUUAAUAAUGAACACUGUUAAUGCUGAUCUGACAGAGAUCAUAAAAUACAGCAGAAAGCUGCAAAUAAAUAGAUAAUUCAGCUGAUAACAAGUUUAACUGAUGUAAAGACGCCUCCCUUUGAUAAAACUCACGAGGCCGUUAGCCGAGGAUGCAAAAUGUAUAAAACAAAAAGCAGGAGGUGGUCGAGGAGAGCUGUCAGGCUGCUCCAAACGGAGCCCGAGAUGUGGCGAUUUUACCCACCUAUAGGGGAGCGUCAGCCACUCUGUCAUUUAAAAGGAUAAAAAUAUUAACAGCCAUUAUUAAUAAAACAUAGAAACCAAAAAAAAAAACGGAACACGGUUAACAAAAACAAAAUC